rnacentral:rRNA from 1 species
GUGAGUAACGCGUGAGUAACUUGCCUCCAAAUCGAGGAUAACAGUUGGAAACGACUGCUAAUACUGGAUGUGAUUUUGGUGUCGCAUGACACCUUUAUUAAAGAUCCGUUGUUUGGAGAUAGGCUCGCGUCCCAUUAGUUGUUGGUAAGGUAACGGCUUACCAAGACUUUGACGGGUAGGUGGUCUGAGAGGAUGGUCACCCACACUGGG